rnacentral:lncRNA from 1 species
CGAGGAGCCUCAGAAGGGUGUGUGUUGUCUCUCUGUGCAUCCUGCCUGCCACGAGACACGUAUCCCUUACGGGCAUGAAUAUGCAUACAUGUGCAUAAACACAAGCCAGUUCCCACCUCUUUCUCAUAGACGUUAUGGAAGUCCAGGAAGAAACGACUCAUCUCCAGUGACAGAGCUCAGAAGGACGGCUGCCGCUGGAGGUGUUGGCUGGAAGUGGGCCCAAGGGAACCCUCAGGAGUAAUGAAGAUGUUUCAUGUCUUCAUUUGGGGGAUGGGCUCCCACAUUUAUCAAGACUCUUCAAACUCUACAGUGAUGAUCUCCAUCUCUUGCCUGAUGUGAGUCACCUCCAUUAAAAUGAUAAUAGAUGAAAUAAAA